CUAUGUCGACAAAGUUGCAUAGUACCGAAUCUGAAAAUAGAUUAUUGCGUAUACCUAUAUUUAACUCAUGCAGUUCAACAUGAUCAGCAAAUCCAAGUGAAUGAAUGAUCAUUUUCAGUACUGUCAUGUUGGUGUGGAUCAUACAAACAUGGAUCUGAAGAGAACGUUUAUAUCGAUCUUCUGGACGGCACGGUGACGGACUCCGUGGAGGCCACGUCUCUGACCUUCAACAACGACUUCAUUGAUGUGUACGUGUGCUGCUGGGGCCCGCGGGACGACGGACAGGAAAUGGCCGGGCCGGGGACACUCACACAGAAAGCACUGAGGCUGGGCAAGGUGRGAGUUAGACAGUGUAUUUGUGUGGGCGUCUGGUAAUGGUUGGUGAACGACCACUGUGGAGCAGACGGCUAUGUCAACAGUGUCUACAGCAUUGCCGUUGGGGCUGUCACCCACACGGGCAAGCGCGCCUUUUUAGGUGAGCACUGCCCUGCCGUCAUGGCUGUCACUCUAACUGGAGCCAGUUUGGGAAACACACUACCCCUAGUGACAGUGUCCAAUCUAGGGGACGGUUGUGUCACCCACUUUGCGGGMACAUCCAGUGCUGCACCCAUCGCGGCUGGGAUUCUGGCCCUUGUCCUGGAGAACAAGUYAGCCUUGGUCAUCCUCUCCCCUCCUGAACCUUACUCAACUGUUGCGUCAUUUUCUCCACUAUCGGUUUUUCAUCUGCAUUCCAUGGCUUAGUCCUGACUUGACAUGGUGGGAUGUGCAGCAUCUGAUCGCCAUGACAGCCAAGGUCCCCGCCCCCAAAGAGCCAGGAUUUUGUGUCAACGGAGCAGGGUACCACAUCCAUGACAGGUACUAGUUACASACACGGUGUAAACACACCACACACAUKAUGUAUACCACAUAUACUGUACUGUAGCCAGUGUUGGGAUUAGUUACUUGGGGAAAGUAAUGUAUUACAUAUUACUCGUUGCGUUUAACAAAAGUAACAUGUUACUUAACAAUAUUACUUUGUGUGGAAAUGAAUGUGUGAGAUUACUCAUUAUAUUACUUUGCGUUACUUUCCUGAUAAAUUGUUUGACUAUCGGGGGGAGCAAGGCGAGCUACUUACUAACUCAGGUUUGAUAACUGGUUUCUCCUUUCAUCUGUGGCACUGCUUUCCUGUGCUACUCUACACGUGCUGCUUAAUUAUCCAUAUAUACUAUUAGCCAAAGAUCUGUACAGAUUUACUAWCUUUUCAUUCWAAAUCUUUCUCUAGAGCCUCCAMUUCUGGUUAUAGACCGCACGGACAUGGACCCAUAGAGACGUAUASAUGACACACGUGCCACUAUCACAGAAGCAAUCAAUGGCAAAGAGCAGAGGUUAACCCUCUAUACAUUUUUAUGGAGGUAGCUGUCAUGACAAACAGCCUUUCUCCACUCGCUUGCGAGAACUAAAUUAAGUUGAGAUCGGAUKAUGGAAACGCGCCCAGUAGAGAUAGGAUUCUGAAAGUAACGCAUGCAUUAGUUGACAAAGUAACUGUAAUAAUAUUACCCAA